GCGGAAGUGGAUUUAGGUUCUGGCGCACCAGAUUUAGGUUCUGGCGCCGCAAGGUGUGAGAGUUCAAGUCUCUCUUUCCGCACCA
rnacentral:tRNA from 1 species